rnacentral:rRNA from 1 species
GACGAACGCUGGCGGCGUGCUUAACACAUGCAAGUCGAGCGGUAAGGCCCUUUCGGGGGUACACGAGCGGCGAACGGGUGAGUAGCACGUGGGUGACCCGCCCUCAGCUCUGGGAUAAGCCUGGGAAACCGGGUCUAAUACUGGAUAUGACUCCAUGACGCAUGUUGUGGGGUGGAAAGCCUUGUGCGGCUGAGGAUGGGCCCGCGGCCUAUCAGCUUGUUGGUGGGGUGANGGCCUACCAAGGCGACGACGGGUAGCCGGCCUGAGAGGGCGACCGGCCACACUGGGACCGAGACACGGCCCAGACUCCUACGGGAGGCAGCAGUGGGGAAUCUUGCGCAAUGGGCGAAAGCCUGACGCAGCGACGCCGCGUGAGGGAUGACGGCCU